rnacentral:tRNA from 1 species
GCCCCGGUCGUCUAGCCAGGUUAGGACGCCACCCUUUCAAGGUGGAGAUCAAGGGAUCGAAGCCCUUCCGGGGUACCA